rnacentral:rRNA from 1 species
UACGUAGGGUGCGAGCGUUGUCCGGAAUUAUUGGGCGUAAAGAGCUCGUAGGUGGCUUGUCACGUCGGGUGUGAAAGCUUGGGGCUUAACUCCAGGUCUGCAUUCGAUACGGGCUGGCUAGAGGUAGGUAGGGGAGAACGGAAUUCCUGGUGUAGCGGUGAAAUGCGCAGAUAUCAGGAGGAACACCGGUGGCGAAGGCGGAUCUCUGGGCCGAUACUGACGCUGAGGAGCGAAAGCGUGGGGAGCGAACAGG